GGCCCCGUGGCUUGGUUAAAGCGUCUGUCAAGUAAACAAGAGAUCGUGAGUUCGAAUCUCGCCGGUGCCU
rnacentral:tRNA from 1 species